GUAGGGUCCGAGCGUUAUCCGGAAUCAUUGGGCGUAAAGAGCUCGUAGGCGGUUCAGCAAGUCGGCUGUGAAAGUUCGAGGCUCAACCUCGAAAUUGCAGUCGAUACUGCUGUGACUCGAGUCCGGUAGAGGAGAAUGGAAUUCCCGGUGUAGCGGUGAAAUGCGCAGAUAUCGGGAGGAACACCAGUAGCGAAGGCGGUUCUCUGGGCCGGCACUGACGCUGAGGAGCGAAAGCGUGGGGGGAGCAAACAGGAUUAGAUACCCUGGUAGUCCACGCCCGUAAACGUUGGAUGCUAGGUGUGGCGGUCUACCAACGACUGGUGUGCCGAAGCUAACGCGUUAAGCAUCCCCGCCUGGGAGUACGGCCGCAAGGCUA
rnacentral:rRNA from 1 species